UACGUAGGGUGCAGGCGUUAAUCGGAAUUACUGGGCGUAAAGCGUGCGCAGGCGGCUUCCUAAGUCAGAUGUGAAAUCCCCGGGCUUAACCUGGGAACUGCGUUUGAAACUGGGGGGCUAGAGUGCGGCAGAGGGGGGUGGAAUUCCGCGUGUAGCAGUGAAAUGCGUAGAGAUGCGGAGGAACACCGAUGGCGAAGGCAGCCCCCUGGGCUAACACUGACGCUCAGGCACGAAAGCGUGGGGAGCAAACAGG
rnacentral:rRNA from 1 species